rnacentral:tRNA from 1 species
UUAAUUGAAACCAAAAAGAGGUAUAUUAUUGUUAAUAAUAAAAUUGAAAUUAUUUUCCAAUUAAA